GGUGUGAAGUACGAGGGCGGAGGGUGUGUGAGUAUGUUGUGACAGCUGAGGGGCAAAAGGCAAUGGAUAUUUUCCUUGGAAAUGGUUGCCAAUUAUCAUGGUGAUGGUAUGGAAUAAAAUCAGGAAAAAUGUGUGGACUUUGGGGAAUGCUUCAGGAUAGAGAUCCCAAGCUUUUACAAUGGCUUUUAGCAUCAUAAGGAAAAAAAAGGUGGCGGUGGAAUUUCAUUUAAUUAUUUUGACCACAACAACAGAGCCUGGUUGGCCUUGGAAUCUCUUACCUCUGGCCUAAUAUUUCCAAGGAAGGCCAUAAUUCAUUUUUCCCCAGAAAAUCUAAUUAUCUCAAGGGUUAAAUUGGAUUUGUGGCUGUGUGAAGGAGGAAGUUGUGGCAGAGGAGAGGAAGCCGCGGAAGGCUUUUAGCCAAAGUCCCAAGUUGCUUAUAAAUUGUUCUAUGGCCGCCAAAUACAUUGCAAAAUGUGACAAAUAUGCAUUUGGCAACAAUAAAUUUUACGACCGCAGUCGCCGCCGAAAA